rnacentral:ncRNA from 1 species
UUACUCUGCGCCGGUCGCUGCAAAAUCAGCGGCCGGGUGUAGGAACCCGUUCA